GGGUAUUUGAGUCCAGAACUGAGGGAAUGGGCUGUAGCAAGUGUGCCCUGUUUGGUUUACAUGGGUUCUUGUAAGUAUGGUGCCAGUGGGCACAGAGGAGCUGUUUGCAUCCAUGAGAUCCUUAAGAGGCUUCAAGAGGUGCAGUUUGUGAAAGAAGGAUAGAUGUGAGGCCCCAUCUGGUGGAAAAAGAAUUUUGUCUGAAGAUGGGGGUCCAGUUGGGCAAAGAACAAGUGAAGUAGACGUAUGCCUGUAGGGGACAUGAAGUACUUAUUCUCAAAAUGGAAGUGGAUUUGAUGUCA